rnacentral:rRNA from 1 species
UACGUAGGGGGCAAGCGUUGUCCGGAAUCAUUGGGCGUAAAGAGCGUGUAGGCGGCCCGAUAAGUCCGCCGUGAAAGUCCAGGGCUCAACCCUGGAAUGCCGGUGGAAACUGCCGGGCUGGAGUCCGGAAGAGGCGAGUGGAAUUCCUGGUGUAGCGGUGAAAUGCGCAGAUAUCAGGAGGAACACCGUAUGCGAAGGCAGCUCGCUGGAACGUACUGACGCUGAGACGCGAAAGCGUGGGGAGCAAACAGGAUUA